GACGAACGCUGGCGGCGUGCUUAACACAUGCAAGUCGAACGGAAAGGCCCUGCUUUUGUGGGGUGCUCGAGUGGCGAACGGGUGAGUAACACGUGAGUAACCUGCCCUUGACUUUGGGAUAACUUUAGGAAACUGGGGCUAAUACCGGAUAGGAGCUCCUGCUGCAUGGUGGGGGUUGGAAAGUUUUGGCGGUUGGGGAUGGACUCGCGGCUUAUCAGCUUGUUGGUGGGGUAGUGGAUUACCAAGGCUUUGACGGGUAGCAGGCCUGAGUGGGUGACCGGCCACAUUGGGCCUGGGCUACGGCCCAGACUCCUACGGGAGGCAGCAGUGGGGAAUAUUGCACAAUGGGCGGAAGCCUGAUGCAGCAACGCCGCGUGCGGGAUGACGGCCUUCGGGUUGUAAACCGCUUUCGCCUGUGCCGAAGCGUGAGUGACGGUAAUGGGUAAAGAAGCACCGGCUAACUACGUG
rnacentral:rRNA from 1 species